rnacentral:rRNA from 1 species
AAAGGAGACUGCCGGUGAUAAACCGGAGGAAGGUGGGGAUGACGUCAAGUCAUCAUGGCCCUUACGCCCAGGGCUACACACGUGCUACAAUGGCGCAUACAAAGAGAAGCGACCUCGCGAGAGCAAGCGGACCUCAUAAAGUGCGUCGUAGUCCGGAUCGGAGUCUGCAACUCGACUCCGUGAAGUCGGAAUCGCUAGUAAUCGUAGAUCAGAAUGCUACGGUGAAUACGUUCCCGGGCCUUGUACACACCGCCCGUCACACCAUGGGAGUGGGUUGCAAAAGAAGUAGGUAGCUUAACCUUCGGGAGGGCGCUUACCACUUUGUGAUUCAUGACUGGGGUGAAGUCGUAACAAGGUAACCAAGGGCGAAUUCUG